UACGUAGGGUCCGAGCGUUGUCCGGAGUUACUGGGCGUAAAGCGCGCGCAGGUGGUCCAUUAAGCCCGGCGUGAAAGCCCCCGGCUCAACUGGGGAGGGUCAUUCGAUACUGUUCGACUCGAAGGCAGGAGAGGGUAGUGGAAUUCCCGGUGUAGUGGUGAAAUGCGUAGAUAUCGGGAGGAACACCAGUGGCGAAGGCGACUACCUGGCCUGUUCUUGACGCUGAGGCGCGAAAGCUAGGGGAGCAAACGGG
rnacentral:rRNA from 1 species